CUGCCUCUGAAACCCACCCCUAUCUCAAAAUACUCUCAAACCUUCUCUAACCCUAGCCUCCUCCCGUCACAUCUACCUUGAAACCCACUGAAAUCUAUGGCUUGUAAGGUUUUAAGAGCCCUAAUCCCACCUCCUAUGAUUCCUACGUACACGGUCUAUGAAGAUUCAAGGCCUGACCUUGAAGGUUCAUGCCCAGAUCUCUGUCGACUCAAAGUUCCACGGUUAUCUCCGGGGCGUUGCUUCGGCGUACCGCUGUUGUUUGAGCCUGGUUCUGACCUCUCCGACUCCAAUCGGUGGCCUUUCAAAGACUUUCUCAUUUCUAGGGUUCUUCUGAAACCCUAACUCUUCGAGGUUUCCUCCGAUUAUCUUAGAUCUGUUGUGUAUCUAUGCUCUCCUUGAAGUUUUCAAACGAUUCUCCCAACUUUUCUUUAAAAAAUUACUUUCAAAAAUCUUUCUUUUCUGAUAUAGGGUUUUCUGAAAGUGUUUAAGUGUUUUAUGAUUUUUCUUUGUCUUUUGUGUGUAUUUGCCUCUAUUGAGUUCUUGUAUCAUGGUCUUGUAUGUUUCUCUUACUGUGUUUUCCUACACUAUGUUUUUGUAUGUUUUUCAACUAUUUUCUGGUUAUUCCUUCAACCAUGUUCUUGUGCGUUCUUUUACUAUAUUUUCUAUACUAUGUUCUCAUACGCUUUUAUACUAUGUUCUGGUAUUUUCUUCUACCAUGUUCUGUUAUGUUUCGCAUACUAUAUUUUUUCUACUGUGUUCUUAAGUAUUUUUACUAUUUUUUUCUUCUAUGAACCUUGUUUAAGUUUCUUCUAAAAGAUCUUCUUAAGAAUGCUUCUUCUACUGUUCCUAUCAGUAUUUUUAUUUGAAUGCUUCUACUGUGUUCUGCAUGUUAUUUUGAUUUCAUGUUUUAUCAUGGGUUUCUGUUGUUGAUACAAGCAUGCAAGAGGUUUCAGUUCUUCUCUGAAACCUCUGAGUCUGUUUCAACUACUUGCCUUCUCAUCUCUGUAUUUGACUCAAGGUGGAAUUCUGCGAAGUUUGAUCAUGUGAUGUGAUUGAACUAUGGUUUUUAUUUCUAGAACUCCUAACUCUUUCUGACCAACUUCGGGUCUCUGAAUUGAGUUUGGACUUCCUUGUUUUCAUACGAUUUUGACCCUUUCACUAAACUCUUCUACACUGGAUUUUUCUAUUAAUGUUACAGUGACAUGACAAUUUUUCUUCCAUACUUAACAUGCUCUCAUUCUCUUUAUAUAUGAUGAGUUUCCCUCUAAAUGAUUUUCAAAUUUGCAAUUAGUUCAAGCUUCCUUAUGAAUAUAGCUUGGUUGAUUUCUUUCCAUUGUUUACUGAUUUUCUCUGUGACACAACCUAAGUAAAACCCUCCUUCAUCUUUUCUGACUUGGUUUAUUCAUACAAAAUCUCAAACCAUUUGAUUUACUGGUUGUUAAUUGAUCUUCUUACCUUAUUUGUACAAAACCGUGUAUUUCAAAACCCUGUCCUUAAACAACUUUUAUGUACUCAUCCCUAAUUACCUACUUUGCACAAAGUGUUUGAUUAAUUUCUUUCCUCAAAUAGUUUAUACCCGUGUGAAUCUGAAUCAUUUAAUAAAAGGGAGUCUUGUGUUAUUGAUUGACAAUCAGUUCUUAAACUAUUUUCUUACCUUAUUUUCUCAUGAUUUUUACACUAUAAAUACACGACUCUUUAACACAACGGAGACAUUUGAACAAUCCUACACUUCGCAAUUCACAAUCUUUUCUGAAUUCUCACUCCCACAUAAUAGAAUUCUUCCUUCUUGUCUGCAUUCUUACUUUUACAAGACUGCUUUUCCCUAUUUGUUGCUUUGAAACUGGUAUGUCCUAAUUUAACUUUAGCAUCACCGCAAUGUGUUUACUUACAACUUUCUACAUCUACGUCUGUUUUACUUCUUCUGCAGAGUUAAGUGCUUAAACUAGCACGUUGAUUUCCUUUUGCUUGUUUCUGCUAUGAAUCCAUAUUCCCUAUCUCCCUUUUCUGUUUGAGUUAUAGUUCAAAAUAUGGCAAUAUUCAAGUCAUUGUCUAUGGAUUGAAUUCGAUCCCUUAUAGGAUCCUAACCUCUAAACAGUGUGUUAUAAACAGACUUAUGAGUAUGCCAACAUCUCUUAUUGUUGGUGAUGACACUAGUAUGCUCUUUGCUUCUUCCACUCCCCAUUCCCUAUUUCCCUAUGUGUAUAUGGACUGCUUCCCUUCCUUUUUCCCCUUUCUGAAUUUCGCUUUUGCACUUGCAUUCUUUCUUAGUUCCUAAGUUCUGCCCCCCUCUUGUGAGCCAUGAGACCUUGAGUUUCCUCUGAACUUGGACACUGAGGCUUGGCCCUUCCACACUGCACUAUGUCUUAAUCUGGUAAUGCAUUUAGGUUUAAGCACUGUCCGAAGUUCAUGUGAGACUCUUAGAUAACUUUGACACCCCCCAAAUGGGAGAAAGACUUUGAAAUCUGAUCUACUGGAGUUGGUUUACUUCAGGCUUUAGACAUGAAGUAUGAAUCAGGCUUUCCUUGGUUGUACUUUUAGCUUCUGAUGUAUUUUUUCUGUACUUUACUUUCUUUUCUAGGUUGUAAUAACUAUGUAAAAAAAAACUCUUGGUGAUGGCCAGGGAAAAGGGAAGGGCAAUUAUGUAUGCUAAAGAGGGUAGAUACCAUGUCCAUAGGAAUUUCAGUAUUCUCAUAUAUAGCUAUCAUGUUUAUAGGAAUUCCGUAUUCUCAUCUAGCUAACAUGCCUAUAGGAUUUCUGAUUUCUGCAUUCUCAUAUAGCUAACAUGUCCUACAGAAUUUCUAAUUUCUGCACUACCAUAUAUAGAUACCAUGCCUAUAGGAUUUCUGCAUUCUCAUGUAGAUAACCUGCCUAUAGGAUUUCUGAUUUCAGUAUUCUCAUAUAUAGAUACCAUGUCUAUAGGAUGCACAUGCAUGUAGAAAUUAUGCCCAUAGGUACUUUCUAAUUCUUGCAUAUCCACUUUUCACUAUGCAAACGUGUUUAUAGGUCUUAAUAACCGAAAUGCAACCAGACGUCGUGUUUAUAUAAAAUCCAGCAUUUGGAUGUCAUGCCUAUAGGUUUUCUGCAUUUUUACUAUGUUUAUGAAUGUGUUCUGAAGUCGAAAAACAUAUAGAAAGCAUGCCUUUAUAAGUUAAUCAAAUCUAAAUCUCCUCACUCGCUCAUAAGUCUAAGACUAGCAGUAAUAAUGUAUCACCAAUGGAAGAACUUAUGCUCUUGUAAAACUCGCUUUUAAUUGGCAACUUUUCUUAAUGAAGUCUGUAAUAAAUUUACCUCUGGAAUCAGUAUGCUUAUAGGUUUUCGUCUAACACUUAGGCAAGCCAUAAGAUGACUUAUAAAAUUGAAAUUAGAUUUUAUAUGCUAUAACCAGCAAGUAGGCCAGAUUGAGGCUUCUUAUAUGAACUAUGUAAUAAAUCAGUCUGCCUCAAAUCUUUAAGUUUUAAUUAGACCUUAAACAGCACGUGCAAGACAUGCUAAACUAUGUGCUUUCUUGGUUUAAAUGAGGUCUGUUUGAGCCUUUUAUUUGUUCAUAUGCUCCCCCAAACCUGCUAUAUGUGUUUUGUCUGUCGUCUUAGCAUUUUUACCUUUUGAAACCACAAAUAAGCCCAAAACUUACUCCCUUUAGGACUAGUAGUCCCAAGUACCUCUGGGACUGAUAGGAUUGGGGCGAGUGAUAUCAUACAAUAAGUAAACGAGACCAUUCCGCGCUUUCAUAUCUUAAACGGGGUGGGAAAGGGUAGAUAUGGAUAUGAUGACAAGUGUGCUAAUACUACGUGUGCCCCUCUCUGAGGAGUGAUUACCGGAUAUUGCAUUGACGUUAUUUAUAUUAUUAAUAAACCUAGGACCUCUCCCCUUUGUUUUUAGUUUCUUUUAAAUAUUUCAAAACCAUCUCUUCUAAGAAAGAAAAAUCAACUCUCUUUAGCUCUUGCUGAUCUUGUUUAUUUGUGAACAUUACAUGAAAAUCCCCUAUUAUAUGGAAAACUUAUUUGCCUAUGAGUUAUUUGCAUUUAAAACUCAACAAUAGCUUUUCUGGGAACCACGCUAGUGGAUCCUGAGGGUUGCCUAACACCUUCUCCUUGGGAUAAUUUCAAGCCCUUACCCAAUCUUAUGUUAUCCAAAUUGAACUCUUCUUAGUGUCCUAAUGCACUAUAAUCAUUAGGUGGCGACUCUUCAAUUACAAAAACCCAAUUCGCAAACGGGAACAAGUUUUCCUCCUGAAUGUCAUAAAUCCAAUUUUGUGAGAAAAAGGGGGCGCGACAACAUGGAGAUUCUGCUGGGUAUCUCUUUUAGGCUUUUAUUUCAAGCUAUUACUAUGACUUUACAUUUCUUAUAUGUCUUUAUUUGUUUAUCCCUUUAAGCAUUUAAUCCUCUCUUCUACUACGAAACUGACUUGUUUUUUUUUUGUUCCUUUCCUUUAUCUCUUUCUUGCUUUCCUUUAUUGCAUUCCUUUAUUACUCUUUUAAAUUAUUGUAUAUGAACGUGCAAAUACGUGAAAACUUGUUUUAAUUAUUGCAACUACAUAUUUUCAACAUCAUAUUCCUCUCGUGCCAAACAAAAUACCAUAGCAACGCUUAUAAUGAGUGGUUGUGCUCUUCCGGUGUUAUCACCUCCUAAAUCCGGUAAAGGCAUAUUUGCGGUAAAACCAGUCGAUCAACGGUGUAGUCGAUGGUUCUACGCCUUUCCCUAUUGAGUUGUCCGCUCAAAGGUACCAGUCUAAUACCCACGGAAACCUUACUCUCUUUAAUUGCGGAUGCAUCAUGGUCAAACCUUGUCGAGUCAGUUAUGUUCUCCGCAUAAUGACUCUUUAAGAUAGCCUUGUCCAAAGUCCACUGGGUUUCCCCAAAACCCAAAUGGACACUACCACGUUUUGUGCAUUUAUUUGGAGAACUAAAUGCUUUUAUACGAUUUAUUGAUAUUUGAUAGUCGAGUCUAGUUGGGGUAAGGGCCUAAUCCUUUGUCUUGCAGAAAACAAGAGGCACGAAGUCCCCAACCCCAAAUACACGGAUGGACUGUUGAAGGAAAUGAAGGCGGACAUCUGGCCAGAGCCUACAUACUGUUGGGACUGUGCGAGCUAGGGAAGCUGUUCGAUGGAGCCGAUGAUGCUGAGUCUGUGGAGGUCCUUUUGGGACCAAAUAUAUAUGAGUUUUUUCCUUUUGCUUUGAGAAAUGUAAUAAGGCUAAUGGCC
rnacentral:lncRNA from 1 species